AACGAACGCUGGCGGCAGGCCUAACACAUGCAAGUCGAACGCCGUAGCAAUACGGAGUGGCAGACGGGUGAGUAACACGUGGGAACAUGCCCUUUGGUUCGGAAUAACUCAGGGAAACUUGAGCUAAUACCGGAUACGUCCGCAAGGAGAAAGAUUUAUCGCCGGGAGGAUUGACCCGCGUCUGAUUAGCUAGUUGGUGGGGUAAUGGCUCACCAAGGCGACGAUCAGUAGCUGGUCUGAAAGGAUGAUCAGCCACAUUGGGACUGAGACACGGCCCAAACUCCUUACGGGAAGGCAGGCAGUGGGGAAUAUUGGACAAUGGGCGCAAGCCUGAUCCAGCCAUGCCGCGUGAGUGACGAAGGCCUUAGGGGUGNAAAGCUCUUUUGCCUGGGAAAGAUAAUCGACCGUACCAGGAGCAAUAAUCCCCGGCUAACUUCGUGCCCACCACCCNCGGUAAUACCAAGCGGGGCUAGCGUUGUUNAGAAUCACUGGACCGUAAAGCGCACGUAGGCUCAGGAUUUCAUUCAAGUCAGGGGUGAAAUCCCGAGGCUCAACCUCGGAACUGCCUUUGAUACUGGGGAUCUCGAGUCCGGGAGAGGUGAGUGGAAUUGCGAGUGUAGAGGUGAAAUUCGUAGAUAUUCGCAAGAACACCAGUGGCGAAGGCGGCUCACUGGCCCGGUACUGACGCUGAGGUGCGAAAGCGUGGGGAGCAAACAGGAUUAGAUACCCUGGUAGUCCACGCCGUAAACGAUGGAUGCUAGCCGUUGGUGGGUUUACCCUUCAGUGGCGCAGCUAACGCAUUAAGCAUCCCGCCUGGGGAGUACGGUCGCAAGAUUAAAACUCAAAGGAAUUGACGGGGACCCGCACAAGCAGCGGAGCGUGUGGUUUAAUUCGAAGCGACGCGAAGAACCUUACCAGGGUUUGACAUGUGCUUGCACCACCUGGAGACAGGUGUCCCUUCGGGGCGGGCACACAGGUGCUGCAUGGCUGUCGUCAGCUCGUGCCGUGAGGUGUUGGGUUAAGUCCCGCAACGAGCGCAACCC
rnacentral:rRNA from 1 species